AUGUUUUUUUUAGUAUCGACACUUUCAAUUAAAAAAUGACAUGCAAUGUGUAUAAACAUUCAUUGAGUAUUUUUUUUUACAGUCCAAUCUUAUAGGAUGAUACAGUCCACUACUUCUUAUACAGUUAAUAUUUUAUAUUAAUUAAUAUCAUCAAUUGAAAACAUGCAUACUACACAUAUUGCAUAUUUGAUAGAUUUGCACCAUAAACAUUCUUAAACAAAAUGCAAUGAAGAGAUGAAAACAAUACAAUUAAUAUUUACCUCAACUUGUUCGUCUCCUUGGCAGGACAUGCUGGAUAACGAGUCGGAGACUUUGGCAAAACAUCGGCCGAAACAGGCCCCCAUGACCUGUCAAAUCACGGCGUCUUGCCGUCGGCGUCAUCUAACCGAUCUAUAAUGAAUAUUUAAAUGCCAGUCUUUAAUUCCACACGUUUACACGCCCGUAAAUUGACUGUUGUUAUUACAACGAGAGAGACAGCGCCCCGUUUAUUGUUGUGAAUGGUGGACGUCAAAUAAGACAGAUCAUUCUCAACCAUGUUUGAUGGUACCAUAUGAAUAAAA